UACGUAGGGACCGAGCGUUGUCCGGAAUCAUUGGGCGUAAAGCGCGUGUAGGCGGCUCGGUAGGUUUCGUGUUAAAUCCCUCGGCUCAACCGAGGAAUCGCACGGAAAACCACCUCGCUAGAGUCCGGAAGAGGGAAACGGAAUUCCAGGUGUAGCGGUGAAAUGCGCAGAUAUCUGGAAGAACACCCGUGGCGAAGGCGGUUUCCUGGGACGGUACUGACGCUGAGACGCGAAAGCGUGGGGAGCGAACAGG
rnacentral:rRNA from 1 species